rnacentral:rRNA from 1 species
CCUACGUGAGGCAGCAGUGGGGAAUAUUGCACAAUGGGGGAAACCCUGAUGCAGCGACGCCGCGUGAGUGAAGAAGUAAUUCGUUAUGUAAAGCUCUAUCAGCAGGGAAGAAAAUGACGGUACCUGAGUAAGAAGCUCCGGCUAACUACGUGCCAGCAGCCGCGGUAAUACGUAGGGGGGAAGCGUUAUCCGGAUUUGCUGGGUGUAAAGGGAGCGGAGACGGCAGUGCAAGUCUGGAGUGAAAGGCGGGGGCUCAACCCCCGGCCUGCUCUGGAAACUGUACGGCUGGAGUGCAGGAGAGGUAAGUGGAAUUCCUGGUGUAGCGGUGAAAUGCGUAGAUAUUAGGAGGAACACCAGGGGCGAAGGCGGCUUACUGGACUGUAACUGACGUUGAGGCUCGAAAGCGUGGGGAGCAAACAGGAUUAGAUACCCUUGUAGUC